AAGCAGUAGAAACAAAACCGAGAGAGAGAGAGUUUCGGUCAUAAUCAUUCAUUCCGAAACACCACCGAGUGAGAAACAUUUUUGGUUCUUCAUUGCUCCAAGUCUGCACCCGAGAGAGAGUAAGGGAGAAAGAGUGAAUCAUUUCCUAUUACCACGCCAACCAACAGAAAGUUGAGAGGGAGGAAGGACCGCAGCUGUUUGGCGUGCAAACUAGAGGCAGCGGGGGGAGCAAGAAGAGAGAAAUCUGGUGCGAUUCUUUGAGGAGCAGAGGGAGGAAACUGUCCACAUUUUUCCAGCUGAGAUUGUCUGCAAAAGGGAGGAGUUGGAGGUCGGGGAUCGAAUGAGGGAAUUUAGGGAUUUAUCGUGAAGACUUUAGCCUUGUGAUUAGCAUCUUAAUAAGGAAGUGAUGAAGAAAAAGUGCUGAAAAUCAACAUUUCAGAAGACUUCGUGAGAGUUAGGCGGGGCCGCCUAACUCCAACCUUCAAAAUCGAAUUCUCGGGAUUAUUUGCACGUGAGAAACUUCAGAAUAAUAAGUGAAGUAGCUGGCUAUAAAUUGGGAAAUCCGUGGGUCACUCCAAAGGAAAGCAAACGCUGAAGAAGUUGAAUUGUAAUAAAAUUGCUAUUUAAGUUAGGAGAAAAAGUAGGAAAAGGGUGAGAUUGUAGGACCGUUUUCUAUUGUGGGAGGAUAAAAACGCAUAGAAGAAUUGUACUUUCUUUUGUCUUUGACCUUUUUUGCUUCUUAGCACAAUUGGAAGGAAACGAACGAAAGAAGCCACAAUUGUUGACUUGGUCUAAUUCUCUUUUUUUCCCUUGUUUGACCGAAUUGGAGAGAUAUCAGACUCUCUUUAUGCUCUGCC